rnacentral:rRNA from 1 species
AGCGAACGCUGGCGGCAGGCUUAACACAUGCAAGUCGAACGCAUCGCAAGAUGAGUGGCAGACGGGUGAGUAACGCGUGGGAACAUACCCUUUUCUACGGAAUAGCUCUGGGAAACUGGAAUUAAUACCGUAUACGCCCUACGGGGGAAAGAUUUAUCGGGGAAGGAUUGGCCCGCGUUGGAUUAGCUAGUUGGUGGGGUAAAGGCCUACCAAGGCGACGAUCCAUAGCUGGUCUGAGAGGAUGAUCAGCCACAUUGGGACUGAGACACGGCCCAAACUCCUACGGGAGGCAGCAGUGGGGAAUAUUGGACAAUGGGCGCAAGCCUGAUCCAGCCAUGCCGCGUGAGUGAUGAAGGCCUUAGGGUUGUAAAGCUCUUUCACCGAUGAAGAUAAUGACGGUAGUCGGAGAAGAAGCCCCGGCUAACUCUGUGCCAGCCGCCGCAGUAAGAC